UCUUGUUGGCAUUCGGUUAAAUUGAAUCGGAUGCAUCCAUGAUCGGGCUCGAUCCGACGGUUGUUAUGUUGUCUAAUUGAAUUAUGAUUAAUCUCGCUUUUAAAUUGAAAAAUUAAUUAAAGAUAAAUUCUAAUCAUAUUAGGAGAACAAUUACUAACCAAUUUGGCCUUAUCGCUUACGCGCCUAUUAGAAUUUUGGAAUCCCUUAUAAAUAUGCGUGCGAUCUCACAUAAAUGAAUAUGAGAAAAGAAAGAGAAUGAACAACAAAACUAAGAGAGAAACGUAGAAAGCACAUCCUCCAUUAACCUAUUAUUCUAGAGGGUCUUGAACGGUGACAUGGAUUGGAGAAUGCAUGCUCGUUUGUACUUCGAUCCACUACGAGUUUGGAGCGAUAGAAGAUUUUUUUAGACGAUCCGAGGACACGUGAAUCAACCUUUACAAUCCGGACUCGUCGCGUUGUAGCGCGAAUCGCUUCCGCAAAAAGGGAACGAUACUUCCGCUGCAUUCUACACAUCUCAUGAGUGGUAUUACCAGAAUUUAAUACACUGAAUUUUCUUAAUUACCUCCGUGUCAUAAAAAAAAUAUAUAUUUUCCAGCGAAAACAGUAGGUUAAAAUAUAGAAAAUUCCUAAUAAAUAUCGGAUUUUUAUACUUAACCUCCUCCUUAAAAAAAAUCUCUAUUUACCCUCUUAAAAUUUAAAAUUGUAACACUUAACUCAACAUUGUUA
rnacentral:lncRNA from 1 species